rnacentral:rRNA from 1 species
UACGUAGGGUGCGAGCGUUAAUCGGAAUUACUGGGCGUAAAGCGUGCGCAGGCGGCUUCGCAAGUCAGGCGUGAAAUCCCCGGGCUUAACCUGGGAAUGGCGUCUGAAACUACGGAGCUGGAGUGUGGCAGAGGGAGGUAGAAUUCCACGUGUAGCGGUGAAAUGCGUAGAUAUGUGGAGGAAUACCGAUGGCGAAGGCAGCCUCCUGGGCCAACACUGACGCUAAUGCACGAAAGCGUGGGGAGCAAACAGG